rnacentral:rRNA from 1 species
UAUUGGUCAAUGGGCGGGAGCCUGAACCAGCCAAGUCGCGUGAGGGAAGACGGUCCUACGGAUUGUAAACCUGUUUUGCCGGGGAGCACCGGGGUCCUUGCGAGGGCCCAACGACGGUACCCGGAGAAAACGCCUCGGCUAACUCCGUGCCACUAGCCGCGGUAAUACGGAGGAUGCGAGCGUUAUCCGGAUUUAUUGGGUUUAAAGGGUGCGUAGGCGGGCUGUUAAGUCAGCGGUCAAAUGUCGGGGCUCAACCCCGGCCUGCCGUUGAAACUGGCGGCCUCGAGUGGGCGAGAAGUAUGCGGAAUGCGUGGUGUAGCGGUGAAAUGCAUAGAUAUCACGCAGAACUCCGAUUGCGAAGGCAGCAUACCGGCGCCCUACUGACGCUGAGGCACGAAAGCGUGGGUAUCGAACAGG